rnacentral:rRNA from 1 species
CGUUCCCGGGUCUUGCACACACCGCCCGUCACAUCACGAAAGUUGGUAGCACCCGAAGUUCUGCUUGCAGGCCCACGGUGAGACCAAUGAUUGGGGUG